UCAUUUACACCCUCAAGCUACGCUUGGUGUUGGGCGUCUGUCCCCGCUUCCCGCGGGGACUCGCCCCAAAUCCAUUGGCAGCGGCAUCGCCGGCUUCUCGCGCAGCACAUUGCGCUUCAGAAGGUUCCCGGCGGGCUCGCAUCCAGCAAGAACCCCCCCAGUUUGACCUCGAAUCAGGUAGGGAUACCCGCUGAACUUAA
rnacentral:misc_RNA from 1 species